GUCUGGAUAGCUCAGUUGGUUAGAGCGUGGUGCUGAUAACACCAAGGCUGCAGGUUUGGUCCCCAGAAGGGACA